CUUCAUCACAACAACAAAUGAUAUGCCUACGGGCCUUUUCACUGUACAAUUUGCCAUCAAUAACUAGAUUAUCAUUGGUUGGGGAUGUUUUAAGUCCAAUUUCUUGAAAACUACAAGAGGCAUAAAAUUAAUACUAGCACCCAAGUCACAAAAAUCUCUGGCAAAUCUAGGUGAUCCAAUCGUUCAAGGAAACUAGGUUUUGAAGCUAAAAAGGAAGAAAAGAGUUGAAGUGUACAGAUUAUCCCACAUACGAUCUCACUUACAGGCCAUAAAUGGCAGUUACGACCACUGUAAUUAGUAUUUAUGACCACUGUAUGUGGCCUCAUAAGUAUAAGAAGAAAAAUAUCUGAGAUUCUGAAGUUUGGAAAAUUGGUCCAGGAGUUAUGUCACUUCUUAUGGGGCAUAAGCAGUACUUAUGCCUACUUUUUAGUGCAAUAUUAGGUAGGUAUUCUGAAGCUAUUCAAGUUGUCUUACACUUACAACCCACCUAGGGGUCCGUAAGUACAACUUACAGCCCAUAAAUUGGUCCAUAAGUGGUCACUGACCUAGUUUUCCUUAUUUA